GGCAUAGGUUCUGGGCAAUACUUUAGAUCUUCAUUCUUGUGUUAGAAGCAUUUUCAGACCAAGCCAUCUCACCCCACUUUAAUACUUAAAGUGUGGUUGUAUUAUUAGUGAAUCCACUUACAUACAUUGAUACUGUCUCUUUGCAUUUUUUUUUUCAAACCAAUGCAGGGAGUGGAAAUUGUUGCUAGAUAAAGUUUACUAGCUAUGAUGGAACCAGCUGGUAAUUCGGUUGGUCUCUGUUCUGUGGCCUUGGAAGGAAGCUCACUCCAAGUAUUUGAGUGCCAGAGUUCAGUCAAGAGUUGGGCAGUAUGAGAGUGGUUAACUAACACAAGCUGGCUCUAAAUGGUGCCUUCCCUUACUGUAUCGUAAGAUAAACAGGAACAAAGUGUGAGGUGGCCUGUGUGGCUGAUCUUCAAGCUUCACUCUUGUUUCUAAGCAGCUACUCCUUUGGGUAAGAGCUUCAUAUUUCGUCUUCAGUACUUUAUUUAUGGUAUAAGAUCAGGACAGAAGUCACUUAUCCAAAACACUCAUUUCAAAAAUCAGUUUUAUUGUCAUUUUAUAGUUUAAAAAACAUACAUGGCAUGGCUAUAAAGUAAUGAGACAAGUUUUCAUGUGUGGCUUGGUUUAUUGAGUCUCAUUAAUAUAUAGUCAUAUCCUGUCUCAAGUCGGAAGAAAAAUAUGCCUUCACUAUAUGAUCAUCAGUUUUGUUACUUAAAAUUUAUUAAGUGCCAACAGAGCACUAGGCACAUAUAUAACACAGAAUUGUACAGUCUCUAUGUUCUUGACUAUUAUUUACAUAGAUCUCUCAAAGAUAACAUUAAAGCUUGUAUUUACAGAACUUUAGACAAAAAUAACAAUACUGGAAGUCAGCAAGUUUCUGUCUAGCAAGGAGCACCUUUUCGUGACUGCGAGGGUUCUGCAGGCCCUGGACUGCAAGAGCACUUCAACCGCGUUACCCACCAAGUCUUAUCCAUUAGUCAGGUAAAGCUGCCGGAGGGGAAGCCUAAGGGGAGCUAGAAAUUGGUUUCGUCAGGUCAGAUACAUUUAGAAAAUUCUGCUGAGACCAUUGCUUAAAAGCACUAAAGACACAUUUAUACAUUUUAACACAAAAAUCUACAUCUACAGGAUGCAAUUCAGUGAGGUGACAGGAUGGUGACUAUGGAAGCCACUUUCUUAAGCCUGUCGUUUCUGCUACUAAAGGCUAACCACCAUGGUAAUUUCCUGCUUUGGAAGGAAAAAGGUACCUUGAGGACAAGCAAACAGUGAUGUUACAAAAAUUAUUUCAAAAACCUCAAUUUUUUUAGAUAAACACAGUGAAUAUAAAUUUCUACAACUAUCUGCCCUUAGAAACCUUUAGUCUGGCGAUAUUUGAGGGAUACAGUAAGGUACCUGGACUCAGGGUGUCUGCUGGGCAGCCCCAGGCUAAGGCGAAGAAGUCAAACGCCACCAACCUGAGAAUACCAAGUUCUGGGUGUCGCCACACAUUUCUUACAGUUAGAGCUGAGAGCACAGAGACCCCUGGGGAGAAAUUACUUUUUGGUACUAAAUUAAUCAAGAUAUUUGAACUGUCCAGACUGAAGCUCAUUGCCAAGAAGCUGCCCCUGAAUUAGUUAAACUGAAACCUAGAGUCGAAUGGUAAACAAAGCUCUCAGUCAGAUAGAUGCGGGACACACAGUAAGGCAACCGAGCCCUAACUGUCUCUCGCUCUCUGGGGCUACUACUCAUACUACUGUAAACAAAACAUUUGGUCUCCUGGUCUCCUUCCUACCGUGACCAUGGUGUCCUAUCACAUGAUGCACCUUUCUGUUCUCUACAAUCACAAAGUAUAAAGUAAGUAGGUGACCGUUUGACCUUGCCUUCAGCUAGACUUUAAAUUUUAGAAUGUCUUAAGCAUACUCAGAAAUAAAGGACUCAAGAAAAUGUUCAGUCUUUUAUUUAAAAACUAUAAACAGUCACCAAAGUAAAUAAAGCCAUUCUAUAACAUAAACUGUCAGGUCUAUAUUUUUUUACUGCACAUCCUAAGGACACAGCAGAAAUGGUGGUUGGGAGGCCUUCCACAUUUUUGGAUGCUAAUAGAACAGGCAAUAGGCAGUUAUAAGUGGAUACAUUUCACGCUUGGGGGAAAAGACAAUUUAAGGAAGUGAGCAGUUUCUGAGCAGGAAUGUGGUACAGUAUUAAGAAUGGAAGAAUAAUACAAUAAAAUUCCACACUAUAUUAAGAUAGAAAAAGUAGUGAAGAAAAUAUCAUACCUGCACAUAAUGCAUAUAUAACACAGGAGAAAACCUGUAUAAAAUUCCAUGUAUUUAAACCAAUUUACAAAUACAAAAAACCCUGCACAAGCUGAGCUUGCACGUGACGAAUGCGUACAGCGGACACGUGUUAGGGAAAACCAAACCAACAAAAAGGAAAUCCAAAUAGUUUCUCUUCUACAAAAAUGACAUAUGAGAUAUAUUAUUCCAUACUCUUUCAGCCAGCAAAAUGAGUUCUACAAGGUGUAUAAUACAAAACAAAACAAAAACAAAACCCCACCAAACCCAAGUGGGGGCCAAGGAAACC
rnacentral:lncRNA from 1 species